UCCGUGGAAUCCAGAGGCGGAGAUCCCGCUGGCAUCGGGCACCCCAAGUUGUGCGCCUUCUGUCAACGCGACUUCAAGCUAGUCCUUGAACUUGCCGCCUCGGCUGCUCCAAUCGUGGUUUCCUCCCAGAGAUGAGGAGCGGGGAAAGGAACACCGGUCUCCUAGACGCUAGUUGUUUAAAGCUGCGGUGUCUGUGCGGGUCGUUCAGCGACACACCUCGGCCAGCCGGCUCUGCGCUCUGCUCAGCGCACCCUGUACCCCGGCAGUCCCCCUGUGUUCUGGGUCCCCACACCCCUGAGGACAGACUCAAUCAGAUAUAACUGUUGAUGGCGCUGGCAGCCGGGCUCCUUUAGGAAACCCAGUGUCGGAAGUAAGUAACCUAAGAAAUGAGCGGCUGGAUCUACUAAUUGUUAGCAGUUGGCAUAUUUUCAAGAGAGGAGGUGUCGCGAUGGGCAAAAAGUGCGACUUAUGCAGUGGAGGGGGAGAAAUAAAGAAUGUCCUUGUGCUUCUGCCGUUUUCAAUGCUUUAUUCACUCAAAUCAUUCAAUACAAUGCCAUCUACAGGUUCUUAUCAAGAAAAUAACAAUUCUUAAUCCUAGGCAUUGCAUCAGACAUAAUCAAUUCACAGCAAACAAUUCUAGAUUAAUUCUAAGCACUGCAAACACACUUAAUCAUGGCAGGCUCAUAGUAGACAUUCCCUCUGCAUGCUAAGCUGAAGUGUCAGAUCAAAAGUCUCAGGCCUUAGGCUCUAAGUCCAGCAGAUGCACAUUCACUCAGACAGUGGGGAUCAUACAGGAACCAAGGCAGGCUUCUCCUGGGGUUGAGCUGAUGGCUGGCUGAGGAGGCUGUCCUGGGAGAAGUCCUUUUCUCACUAGAGUCAAGAGGCUGCUGUAGAGUUUGAGAGCGGUGAGAACAGCAAAGAGGAUCAGGUAGAUGAGAAGAAUUGGGAUGUCAGUCCAAGUCCUCAUCAGGCUCUCAGGCUUGUGUGCAUCAGUGUCAGCUGGUUGAAUGUCUGUUCAUUUGCUCCAUCAUUUAUACUAAAUUUGGGGGUUUCUGAUCACCCUUUCAAUCCCUAUCAGCUGCCACCGGAUUUCUCAGUGAUGUCAUUUGUCCUGAGGUUAAAGCAUCUGGUCUGGUCCGCACCACUGGUUUUCUUGCUUUUCCAGGGCAAUAUGUCAGAGACUUCACUCUGAGUUUGUCAGGGUAGGGAGAAGUGACUUGAUUGUGUAGGAGGGCCAUACUGGAGGGCUCCAUAGGUGUACCAGGUGAGACUGUAGGUUUCAAACUGGAGUUUUAAAAUGGAGUUGCUUAGGCUAAGACCUGAGGCCAUCCUGACAGGAGAGCACAUUUGGCAAACACCACAUCACACCUGGUCAGUGGUCUGAAACACACAGUAGUAAUGCACACAGGUGCGGAGGGAAUUGUGGUCAAUACCCAAGUAAUCAGCACCAGUUCUGGCGCAAUUGGGAUUAAGGGUGUUAUCAAUGGACUGGGUCCGUGAUGCUGGAAUGGAUAUCCCCUCAAUUUUUUUUCUUUUUCAAAAAAGAGAAGGCAGGCUAGGUAGAGAGAGAUAUUUACUGAGAUCUUGAAAGAUGGAAUUUACAUUUGUGUUUGUUUUUUAUAGCUUUAGGAUGGAAGUUAAGUUGCCAUUGAUCCAAGAUUGCCAAGAUAGCCUGUAGGUGGGUAGUGUUGUUUAAAUGAGUGCUUAAAAUCUCUUAAGUAAAACCUGGCUCAUCUGUUAAUUCAAGGAUAUCCUUGAGCUCCUGAACCAAAAUUUUGGAAAAGAACCCACUCUUUUGACUCUCGGGCAUGGAACAAUUAAUCAAUGAACUUGAUUUCAAGAUGCCAAUGUUCUUGCUUUAACUCUGUGUAGCCAAGAGCAAGUCAAUCCAUGGAUACCAAUUUUCUUUCCUUAUACAGUGAAAGUGUACCAAAGUGUACCAAAGUGAAAGUGUACCAAAGACUGGAUUUCAGGACAUAUUUUCUCCAACAUUCAGUGAACCACCUUAUAUGCAAGCUUGCUGUCUAUCACCCUUUUCAGCUUCAGGAUUCUGUAAGGAUUUUUGCGACUCUAGGAACAGUAUUUAAUAUGUGUAGAGAUUCAAAAGGAAGAAACUAUUUCCUGUUCUCUAAUACUUGUUUCUCUAACCCUUGUUAAGUUGGGCAUCAUCAAAGUGAAGUUUUAUUAUUCUUUCUGGGAAGUGACCAUCAGAAUGUUUCUAAGUGUAUUAAAGCCAUUCAAUGCAGAGAUGAAAACUUUAAUCUUAAUUUGGAUGGACGAAAAAAUGAUGUUUUUUCAUAGAAAAAUUUACAUCUGAUAUAAGGCAUUGUUCUGAUGUAUGUGUCUAAGCCAGGAAAAAUAAUCAAGGAGUCCUUCAUGAUGAAAAGAUUGUGAGCGAAUGACUGAGAAGUAUAUUCUACUUUAUUUAUAUUUGUCCAGUGUUAUAUAACUUAAAGCAAGUCUAUGAUGUAUCAUAAAAUACAAGAACAAAAUUGAAUCUAGAAAGGAAAUACCUUGAAGGGUGCUUCUGCAAAAAAUACUGAUUCCUUUCCCGAAAGUGGUGUUGAAGUUAUUGAUCUUGGGGAAGACACGUCACUCAACUAAAAGAAGAAAAUGAAAACCACCAGUAAAGAAUGUGUCCUCAAAGUAUUUUCUUUUCUAGUGCUGUUGAAGCAACAUCCAGGCAACUAAACUCAGUAAGUUAUCCUUAGCUUCAGUUAACACAGGCAAUUCAGCUAUAUCAAAUAAUUUUUGAGUUUUGCAGAGUAUAACUUUGCUCCUAUGUUAACUAGAAUCAGUUUUUUAUAAAACUUCUAUUAUAGGCUGAGAAUAGUAUUAAUGAAUAGUAUUUCAUGUUAAAAUAUAUUUAUAAUUAUUUAUCAGUGAGAUAUUUCUAUUAUUUGAAUAGAUUAUUCUUUUCAUGACAUGAUUUUAAACAAUAAACCCCAACCUGUUUUGUUUGCCAUUUCACAGAUUUCUGUGCUUCCUUCUCUAUGAAGUAGUUUUUAUAAGUUCAGAAAUAAAAUUAUUUUUAGUAUUAAUCAACUGUAAAUGUAAUUAGAAAAACACAUUUUAGCAAUGUUUUAAGAAACCAACUUAAGUUCACUUUAAUCUAACUGCCUCACUAACUACUCAUUAUCUUACCCUUAACUCUUACUAGAAUUGUUAAUAUGAGGAACUAAAAAUAGGCUGACUUAUUAUUAUCUUAGAAAAAUUUCUAUCAUAAUAUUAUUUAAAAAAAUUUUUUUUUGUGUGCCAGGGAUUGAACCCAGAAGCAUUUAAUCACUGAACCACAUCCCCAGCCUUUUUUACUUUUUAUUUUGAGAUAAGGUCUUGCUAAGUUGCUUAGGGUUGCUUAGGGUCUUGCUAAGUUGCUGAGGCUGGCUUUCAAUUCACCAUCCUCCUGCCUUAGGUUCCUAAACCACUGGGAUUACAUGCA